UACGUAGGGUGCAAGCGUUAUCCGGAAUUAUUGGGCGUAAAGAGCUCGUAGGCGGUUCGGUAAGUCGGGUGUGAAAACUCUGGGCUCAACCCAGAGAGGCCACCCGAUACUGCUGUGACUAGAGUGCGGUAGGGGAGCGGGGGAAUUCCUGGUGUAGCGGUGAAAUGCGCAGAUAUCGGGAGGAACACCGGUGGCGAAGGCGGUUCUCUGGGCCUUACCUGACGCUG
rnacentral:rRNA from 1 species